rnacentral:rRNA from 1 species
GACGAACGCUGGCGGCGUGCCUAAUACAUGCAAGUAGAACGCUGAAGGAGGAGCUUGCUUCUCUGGAUGAGUUGCGAACGGGUGAGUAACGCAUAGGUAACCUGCCUGGUAGCGGGGGAUAACUAUUGGAAACGAUAGCUAAUACCGCAUAAGAUUGACUAUUGCAUGAUAGUCAGUUAAAAGGUGCAAUUGCAUCACUACCAGAUGGACCUGCGUUGUAUUAGCUAGUUGGUGGGGUAACGGCUCACCAAGGCGACGAUACAUAGCCGACCUGAGAGGGUGAUCGGCCACACUGGGACUGAGACACGGCCCAGACUCCUACGGGAGGCAGCAGUAGGGAAUCUUCGGCAAUGGACGGAAGUCUGACCGAGCAACGCCGCGUGAGUGAAGAAGGUUUUCGGAUCGUAAAGCUCGGUUGUAAGAGAAGAACGAGUGUGAGAGUGGACAGUUCACACUGUGACGGUAUCUUACCAGAAAGGGACGGCUAACUACGUG